GUCUCUUUGACACAUUCCUCAUUUCCAUUCUCAAUUUUAUUACACAGAGCAGCAAACUAUAAAGGGCCUCAAAAUAACUAGUGUAAAACAAUUCAAACUGGAAAACCAACAACUAAAAUUGAGAAUGGAAAUGGGGAAUGUGUCAAAGAGAC
rnacentral:sRNA from 1 species